GGCUAGAGUACAGAAGUUAGUCACCGUGGUUCCUAGCCUUUUCGUUUUUUAAUUCAAGUUCCGGUUUAUGUAUAUACCACAAGUGGCGAAAACUCUGCUCUUGUGAGCUUUCCUUCUUUAAAAAAGCGUCCAACAGGCGCUUUUUUGUUUGGACCUAGAGUCCGUGGAUCUAGACAUCCGCCAUCUUGAUUCGGCUCCCGCCCGCGUGGCGCGUUUUCUGCGGCGACAGCUCGUUCCGGCCCGCCAGUUUCUGGCAGACAAACGGGGUAGAGAAGACAGCCUCCGGCCGACCUGUGUGCGGUUUACGUACGACCGGGCAGCGUCCUGGAAUCGCCGCCCUCCUCCCCCGCAACUAUAGAUCGGCCGUUGGUUUUUUCGAGCACACCCUAACGACGCUGGUGCCCAACAUCUUGGUACCCCCCGGAGAUAGGCCUAGUCCCGCCUCUGCGACGGCAGAUCAUCGCAUGAAUCUGCGAACCUCCGGUGAACCAGCAGUCGUCGUUUGCUAAAACCCUGCGCAGGUAUGUCACUCAUGGCCAUGAACACACAACACACAACACAUACACUGACACACAACUAUGUUUAACGAAAAAAGAAACAUAAUAUAAUUAAAAUGAA